rnacentral:rRNA from 1 species
CCUACGGGACGCAGCAGUGAGGAAUAUUGGUCAAUGGCCGGAAGGCUGAACCAGCCAAGCCGCGUGAAGGACGAAGGUGCCAAGCAUUGUAAACUUCUUUUGUCAAGGGACAAAAUCAGGCUCGAGAGCCUGACCGAGGGUACUUGAAGAAAAAGCAUCGGCUAACUCCGUGCCAGCAGCCGUGGUAAUACGUAGGGGGCAAGCGUUAUCCGGAAUUACUGGGUGUAAAGGGAGCGUAGACGGUUAAGUAAGUCUGGAGUGAAAGGCCGGGGCCCAACCCCGGGACUGCUCUGGAAACUAUUCAA